rnacentral:rRNA from 1 species
GACGAACGCUGGCGGCGUGCUUAACACAUGCAAGUCGAACGGACAGGCCCUGCUUUUGUGGGGUGCUCGAGUGGCGAACGGGUGAGUAACACGUGUGUAAACUGCCCUUGACUUUGGGAUAACUUCACGAAACUGGGGCUAUUACAGCGUAGAAGCUCCUGAUGCGUGGGGGGGGUGGGAAAGUUUCGGCCGUGGGGGAUGGUCUCGAGGCUUAUCAGCUGGUUGGGGGGGUAGGGGCUUACCAGGGCUUCGAGGGGUAGCCCGCCUGAGAGGGUGACCGGCCACAUUGGGACUGAGAUACGGCCCAGAAUCCUACGUGAGGCAGCAGUGGGGAAUAUUGCACAGUGGGCGGAAGCCUGAUGCAGCAACGCCGCGUGCGGGAUGACGGCUUACGGGUUGUAAACCGCUUUCGCCUGUGACGAAGCGUGAGUGACGGUAAUGGGUAAAGAAGCACCGGCUAACUACGUG